UAAAAAAAUAAGGAAGAAAUCACUCAAGCACCUCAUUUACUUGCUGACCCUAAAGUUGGUUUAUCCUCUAACUUUGACGUUUUGAAUCUUUACUUCGUUUUCCCCCACCUGAGCCCGCUUUCGAUUUCAAAAUGGCGGCCGCGUAAUUAGUAGCUUCAUGCAACAUUUUUAUUUAGGCUACUUUGUAACAGCACUUCCCUUACACCUGUCUCCCAGUGCUGGAUAUUGCGCAACAGCUGUGAAACACUGAUUACCACAUGUGAGGAAAACCGUUUACACUGUCCGUCCCUGGAUCACGAUGCUUCCAGACUUCCUGUUUUGGGGCCCGACUUACUGUGCAUGCUCAGAAGGAGAGAGCGGUUGAUGGUGAGGGAGGAAAUCUUGCUGAGAGAAAUAUGAGGUUUUCAGUCGAGGCAGUGAAGCACUUUGAGAUACGACAGAACCUCAAGCUGGCAACCUACAAAUGACCUCAAGUAUACACUUUUUAAAAUAAAGCUUCCAAUAGCGGUUUUUGCAGCGAUGGUGAAGAAGAUUUUGGAAUCCCCAAAGAAUCUUUCAGUGAACAAUUCUUGAAAGAACCAUUUUUUUAUAGUGUGAAAACCGUUUUAAUAAUCUAAGGAACCUUUUCCAUGAUAAGAACCCUUUAUCCAAAGAUUCCAGGUUAUUUGUGGAAUCACAGAUGCCAAUAAAGAAUGUAUAUUUUUAAGAGUAU
rnacentral:lncRNA from 1 species